rnacentral:rRNA from 1 species
GUGCCUAACACAUGCAAGUCGAACGAGAUCCAUGGGAGCUUGCUCCCGGAAGAUCUAGUGGCGAACGGGUGAGUAACACGUGAGAAACCUGCCCUGGAGUGGGGAAUAACUCGGGGAAACUCGAGCUAAUACCGCAUACCCUCGGAUGGUCGCAUGGCCGACCGAGGAAAGAUUUACCGCUCUAGGAGGGUCUCGCGGCCUAUCAGCUAGUUGGUGGGUAACGGCCUACCAAGGCAACGACGGGUAGCUGGUUUGAGAGAACGAUCAGCCACACUGGGACUGAGACACGGCCUAGACUCCUACGGGAGGCAGCAGUGGGGAAUCUUGCGCAAUGGGCGAAAGCCUGACGCAGCAACGCCGCGUGCGGGAUGACGGCCUUCGUGGUUGUAAACCGCUUUCAGCAGGGACGAAAAUGACGGUACCUGCAGAAGAAGCCCCGGCUAACUACGUG